UAAACAAACGCCUGCCCCCCAGACCAGGAUCUCAGAAAAGACUGAAUAAGGGGGAAAAAACACCUCAGAUAGGCCUACUGACAAGUAGUGGGAGCAUUACUAAUUAGCAGAAAGCUUUAACAAUGGCACAUGAUAUAACAUAGUGACCAGUCUGUUUCACCAGUUAUUCUACUGUAGGCACACCCAAUGAGAUAGAUAGCCUACUGCUUUGUUGUUAUUGAAAAACCUAAAAGCUAGGUUAAAAAAACCUCCAAUUUGACCAGUACUCUGAUCUUAGAAUCAGUGGGCUACUAUAUACUCAAGUGCAAGUUAUAUGUUUUGGCAGGGUUUUGUUUGAUUGAGUAUUGUUUUUUUUCCUAUUCUUUUUCUCCCUUUUACUUUUGACAAUUCCGUAGAUGGUUGUACAAUCUACUGUAGCCUACUACUCGUGUCAUUUAAAAUGUAUAAAAUAUGAAAUAACAUCUACAUUCUCUCUUCAGAUGCUGUGCUGCUAACGGACACUGCAGUCACCUGUGGGAGGGGUCAAUCAAAUCGGAUCUCAAAAACAGAUGUCGCGAAUCUGAUCUGAUCUACCUACCUCUAUGUGGCAAUAGAGUACCUGCUUUUACUGGCCAGGGGACCAAGAUGAAAACAAGAGGCCUGUACCCAGACAUCCAAGCACCCAUCAAGUCACCCAGUCCUCCACCACCUGCCGUGCAGCUAUACCCAUCCAUCAAAUCCAGCCACUUGCCCACCCUAACCAGUCACAGCAUUUGGAGGCAAUAAAGUAUAAUGAAAUGUA